rnacentral:rRNA from 1 species
GACGAACGCUGGCGGCGUGCUUAACACAUGCAAGUCGAACGGAAAGGCCCUGCUUUUGUGGGGUGCUCGAGUGGCGAACGGGUGAGUAACACGUGAGUAACCUGCCCUUGACUUUGGGAUAACUUCAGGAAACUGGGGCUAAUACCGGAUAGGAGCUCCUGCUGCAUGGUGGGGGUUGGAAAGUUUCGGCGGUUGGGGAUGGACUCGCGGCUUAUCAGCUUGUUGGUGGGGUAGUGGCUUACCAAGGCUUUGACGGGUAGCCGGCCUGAGAGGGUGACCGGCCACAUUGGGACUGAGAUACGGCCCAGACUCCUACGGGAGGCAGCAGUGGGGAAUAUUGCACAAUGGGCGGAAGCCUGAUGCAGCAACGCCGCGUGCGGGAUGACGGCCUUCGGGUUGUAAACCGCUUUCGCCUGUGACGAAGCGUGAGGGACGGGAAUGGGGAAAGAAACACCGGCUAACUACGU